rnacentral:rRNA from 1 species
CGGCCGCGGUAUCCUGACCGUGCAAAGGUAGCAUAAUCAUUUGUUCCUUAAUUAGGGACUAGUAUGAAUGGCCACACGAGGGUUUAACUGUCUCUUAUUUCUAAUCAGUGAAAUUGACCUUCCCGUGAAGAGGCGGGAAUAAUAUAAUAAGACGAGAAGACCCUAUGGAGCUUAAAUUAUAUAACCCAAUAAUACAUAACCACAUACCUAAUUAGGAAUUAAAAACUACUUAUUAUGGGUUAUAGAUUUCGGUUGGGGUGACCUCGGAAUAUAAAAUAACCUCCGAGCGAUUUAACCAAGAUUAACAGAUCGAAGUAAUAAAUCAAAUAUUGAUCCAAUCUAAUUGAUCAACGAAACAAGUUACCCUAGGGAUAACAGCGCAAUCCUAUUCAAGAGUCCUUAUCGACAAUAGGGUUUACGACCUCGAUGUUGGAUCAGGACAUCCUAAUGGUGCAGCAGCU